GGCAGGCCUAACACAUGCAAGUCGAACGGUAACAGGAAGCAGCUUGCUGCUUUGCUGACGAGUGGCGGACGGGUGAGUAAUGUCUGGGAAACUGCCUGAUGGAGGGGGAUAACUACUGGAAACGGUGGCUAAUACCGCAUAACGUCGCAAGACCAAAGAGGGGGACCUUCGGGCCUCUUGCCAUCAGAUGUGCCCAGAUGGGAUUAGCUUGUUGGUGAGGUAACGGCUCACCAAGGCGACGAUCCCUAGCUGGUCUGAGAGGAUGACCAGCCACACUGGAACUGAGACACGGUCCAGACUCCUACGGGAGGCAGCAGUGGGGAAUAUUGCACAAUGGGCGCAAGCCUGAUGCAGCCAUGCCGCGUGUAUGAAGAAGGCCUUCGGGUUGUAAAGUACUUUCAGCGGGGAGGAAGGUGUUGUGGUUAAUAACCGCAGCAAUUGACGUUACCCGCAGAAGAAGCACCGGCUAACUCCGUGCCAGCAGCCGCGGUAAUACGGAGGGUGCAAGCGUUAAUCGGAAUUACUGGGCGUAAAGCGCACGCAG
rnacentral:rRNA from 1 species